UAACAGGUUUGAGUACAAAUUCUGCUAGGACAGUGAGCAUAACACUGUUGUGAGGAAGGUGUGGGAAAAUCACGCGGCAACUAGGUUGCGUGAUUUUUGGUAUGAAGCACAAAAAAA